rnacentral:tRNA from 1 species
GUACUGAUCGUUCAGUGAUAGAAUUCCCCCCUUUCAUGUGGGAGACCUGGGUUCGUUUCCCAGCCCAUGCA